GCGGCGUGCCUAACACAUGCAAGUCGAGCGCGAAAGCUCCUUCGGGAGCCUUAAAGCGGCAGACGGGUGAGUAACACGUGGGUAACCUGUCCCUGAGUGGGGGAUAACUACUCGAAAGGGUGGCUAAUACCGCAUAAGACCACGGCCUUGCGGGGCUGAGGUCAAAGGCGCAAGCCGCUUAGGGAGGGGCCCGCGGCCGAUUAGCUAGUUGGCAGGGUAAUGGCCUACCAAGGCGACGAUCGGUAGCUGGUCUGAGAGGAUGAUCAGCCACACUGGGACUGAGACACGGCCCAGACUCCUACGGGGGGCAGCAGUUGGGAAUCUUGCGCAAUGGGGGCAACCCUGACGCAGCGACGCCGCGUGCGGGAUGACGGUCUUCGGAUCGUAAACCGCUUUUCUCGGGGACGAUAAUGACGGUACCCGAGGAAUAAGCCCCGGCUAACUCCGUGCCANCAGCCGCGGUAAGACGGAGGGGGCAAGCGUUGUCCGGAAUUACUGGGCGUAAAGAGCUCGUAGGCGGUUGCAUA
rnacentral:rRNA from 1 species